AUGCAUAUAAAUUAAUAUGUUUCCUGAUAUGACUUAGUAAACAUUUGAAAUUACUUGGAUAUGCAUAUAGUUGUUUGGUUUUCACUUGCGGCCCUUACGUGACUCGUGUGGCAGAAUGUCUCAAUUGUUUUUCCUGUCUAAACAUUACUGAUCCCAAGGGUUGUCGAGCAACUACCGAGUGUUCUAGUGAACAAUCCUGCUUCUUGAAAACUGUUCAGGAUGACACUGAUUUACGCUACAACAUGGGCUGCCAAACCAAUCAGAUGUGUGUCUUAGUGGCACUGAGGUUUUUCAUUUCGGCUUCCUUGCGAAUUGGAAACCAUUGAUUGUAUUCAAGAGAGAUACUUUGUAAAGAAGCCGCAGUUUGGGUGUAAAGAUGACUUCAUACCCGUCCUAGAACAUGUGUGUGAAAUGCAGCGGGAGCAACUACCAGUUCCUGAAUCGAUUGAAAGUGCGACUUCUUUGUUAUUGGCCUUCACUGAAAUAUUGGAUGGUUACUAAUUACAUAUGCAAAAAUAUAUGCUUAAAAAUUGGUUAUAUUUUGCAAAUUUAAUUGUUAAGUUAGUUUAGUUCAAGUUAGUUUCGUUUCGAGUUUUAUUUACAAUGUUUCGAUAAGCAACACAAAUUGAUAUUCUUGUUAUUGGAAUUGAUCUUGAAGUAGUUAAACGUUGUUAUUUUGUUUGCUAAAAUAAAUUAGCUCAUAUUGUUGUACACAUUUACAGACAUUGCAAACUUGGCAAAAACAGAUUCACAAUGUUCUUCAUUUCAUUGUUAGAUUGCAAAAGAAUGAAUGAAACGUUAUUAAUUGUUUGAUAACAUGGCGGUCAUUUUGUUAUGAAAUCCUCGUAAAUUGUGGAAUGUUCCUUUUAAAAUAUGGUUCUUUUAAAAGAUGUAUUAACAUUUUAUUUCAAACUUCAGUAUAUUAAACAAAACGACUAUUGUAAAUCUUAUAUUUAAUAUUAACACUGUCGCAAAUAUAUGAUAUGUUUAUUUUGUAUUUUCUUACUUGAUUUUCUGUUCCUGAAACUCCAGUGUAUAUAGUACAUGUUUGACAUAAAUGUUCAUA